ACAAGUUACCACACAUAGCUGCAGUUUCAAAUACAAUGCACAAGCUCACCAAAAAAAUUUGUAUCUUUUCAAAGCAAAAUUGCAUUUCUCAAUGUAUGUUUUUUCCUUUUCGUUUUGGAAUUCAAAAUUGCAUUUAUGCACAUGUAUUAUGCUUUCUACUUCUCAUUUCUACUUCUUGGUUUGAUUCUCUUCCCCUUUUCAUUUCCAUUCCUAUUUUCUCACUCAAGAAAAAGCAACAAGGUCGUCGUUGGUGGAGAAUACGAAGUCGUAGUCGAAGGUGUUGUGUCAGAGCGGAAUUUCGCGAUCUUCGUCAUAUUACUGUUCGACAGUGUAGGAUUCAUUUUCAAGCUGAAUUGAAUGCCUGUUCGAUGGUGUCACUUCCGGGUCGAACUUUUAUCGCUACUUUCUCCUAUUGGUAAAUCUCAUAGGUUUGAUUUGUUCUUCCUUUAUUUUAGGGUUUUUGUUUUUGUUCUUCCUGGUUUUUGUGUUGUGUUGUGCCACUGAAUUUUACUUUUGCAGGUUUUAGGAGAAGCAGAGAAAAAAGGCUUCUAACGUAAUAUCAGAUACCAACACCCGUUUUCAGUAUUAGUUUUGUUUUGAUUUUGUUGAAAUUUUGAAUUUCUUGAAGAAACAAUUCUGGGUUGUAAGGAUUCAUAGAUAUGUGAAUAGGAUUAAUUUUGCUAUAUAUUUGGAACUAAAACUUCUUUUCAGUUUCUUUUUUUUUUUUUUUUGCAAAUGCAUUCUUAUAGUUUUGGUUUGCUAAGUUAUAUGACAUUUAAUAGGUUGAAAAUGUGGCUUUGGUUCUCAAGAACUCCUAAUUUAAAUGGAUUUCAUGGGGCUUAAACAAGGUAAAAUUUGUAGUUAUUAUUCAAUUAAUUGUGUAAUUGAUAGACUCAAUCAUAAUUCCAUAAAAGGUAAAGCUAAAAUUGAUUGAUUUACUUUCAUACUUUGUUUUGGUUUGUGAGGAUAAAGAUUCAAAUGAUUGAAGUUGCAGUACAAGGUCCUAUAAAAGGUUUGCUGCUAAUCUGGACUUGAUGACAUCUACAUGGAUUGAUUAUUGCUUGAAGCAUAAACAUGAAGAGUGGACUACAUGUCAUGCUGAUUUAAUCAAUUUUCGGGCUUAAAUAUAUUCUAAGAAUUACCAUAAACCUCUUGAUGAAGUUUAAGCAGCAGGACAACAAAAGCAUGAUCUCCAAGGUGGCAGCUCUAACAUACUGAAAUGGAGGAGAUCGAUUGAUGGUUGGCAGGGCUUCUUGAAUGUGGAAUUGAAGGGAGUGAAGACUGUGGUGGUUGAUCUCAACUUCUCUGAAAUGUAUUAUAUUGACAACUUUCAAUUAUGGAUGAAGUAUACACUUCUUUUAGUUUUACUUUGAAAGAAAAAUAUUUUGCUUUUGUAAUUGUCUGAUAGAAAUGAUAGGAUCAUAUUAUAUUUGUUUAUUUCUUAAAUCUCUUCUAUGUUAAGGUGAGUGUAGAUUUUGAUCAAUUACCUUCUCAUGAUAAGGAUUUGUGGACUGACUUUGUAGUAAGACUAUUGGAUUCCUAUCAUCUGAAAGUUGUAUACUGUUUGAAUUCAAGCUACCUCCAUGGUACCAUUUUCAAGUUACAAGGAAUUUAUCUCUAUUUUGCUAACAUGUCAUUCCUUCAGGUCUUAUAAAUUACAAGUUACUGUUGAAAUGCAGAGGUAAUCUGCAUUCUUUGUUAAUGAUUGUUGCCUUUUUUUUUCCUUUUCAAAUUAAUGAAAUCGUGUUUCUUCGUUCGAUUGUGUUAUAUAUUGACUUCAAUUUAUUUUUCUUUUGAGUUAGUGAAUGAUGAAAUUCUUGGUGAGGGUUAGUAACUUGAAGUUUAUGUUGUCAUCUACAUGUAGUUUGGUGAGGGUUAGUAUCACUGCUAUUGGUGAUACUAUAGCCGUCAUUAAAAAUGGGGAGGUGGCUGAAAAGGGAAGACAUGAAGUGUUGAUGAAGAUUACUGUUGGUGUUUAUGCUUCAUUAGUAGCUUUUCAUUCAAGUGCAUCUUACCUACUCCUUUAACAUCUUGUAAGUUAUUCUAUAUCAUAUGAACAAGAUCUAAAGUCUCAGCAUCAAUAUCAUAUGUUAUUUGAAAAUCCUCCCUAUCGUUUUUGUUGUUUAUUACUAUGACCAUUUAUCUGUAUUACAAUGUUAAUGAAAAUUUUGCUGCGUGCCAAUUACAUUUUAUUAAGCCAUGUUUAAUUUA